rnacentral:rRNA from 1 species
GACGAACGCUGGCGGCGUGCUUAACACAUGCAAGUCGAACGGAAAGGCCCUGCUUUUGUGGGGUGCUCGAGUGGCGAACGGGUGAGUAACACGUGAGUAACCUGCCCUUGACUUUGGGAUAACUUCAGGAAACUGGGGCUAAUACCGGAUAGGAGCUCCUGCUGCAUGGUGGGGGUUGGAAAGUUUCGGCGGUUGGGGAUGGACUCGCGGCUUAUCAGCUUGUUGGUGAGGUAGUGGCUUACCAAGGCUUUGACGGGUAGCCGGCCUGAGAGGGUGACCGGCCACAUUGGGACUGAGAUACGGCCCAGACUCCUACGGGAGGCAGCAGUGGGGAAUAUUGCACAAUGGGCGGAAGCCUGAUGCAGCAACGCCGCGUGCGGGAUGACGGCCUUCGGGUUGUAAACCGCUUUCGCCUGUGACGAAGCGUGAGUGGCGGUAAUGGGUAAAGAAGCACCGGCUAACUACGUG